rnacentral:rRNA from 1 species
CCUACGGGUGGCAGCAGUGGGGAAUAUUGGGCAAUGGGCGCAAGCCUGACCCAGCAACGCCGCGUGAAGGAAGAAGGCUUUCGGGUUGUAAACUUCUUUUGUCAGGGACGAAGCAAGUGACGGUACCUGACGAAUAAGCCACGGCUAACUUCGUGCCAGCCGCCGCGGUAAUACGUAGGGGGCAAGCGUUAUCCGGAUUUACUGGGGGUAAAGGGCGAGUAGGCGGGGAGGCAAGUCAGAUGUGAAAACCCGGGGCGCAACCUGUGGACUGCAUUUGAAACUGUUAUUCUUGAGUGCUGGAGAGGAAAGCGGAAUUACGAGUGUAGCGGUGAAAUGCGUAGAGAUACGGAGGAACACCAGUGGAGAAGGCGGAUUGCUGGACAGUAACUGACGCUGAGGCGCGAAAGCGUGGGGAGCAAACAGGAUUAGAUACCCGUGUAGUC